rnacentral:rRNA from 1 species
UACGGGGGGGGCAAGCGUUGUUCGGAAUUACUGGGCGUAAAGAGCUCGUAGGUGGUUUGUCGCGUUGUUCGUGAAAACUCACAGCUCAACUGUGGGCGUGCGGGCGAUACGGGCAGACUGGAGUACUGCAGGGGAGACUGGAAUUCCUGGUGUAGCGGUGAAAUGCGUAGAUAUCGUAAGGAAGACCAGUGGCGAAGGCGGGUCUCUGGACAGUUCCUGACGCUGAAGCACGAAGGCCAGGGGAGCAAACGGG